ACAAAGUACUCAAUAAUAGGGCUUGUGUGUCAGUCACAAAGUACUCCGUGGUUUGGCUGGGCUGUGUUUCGCCUAGCCCCCGCCUCCCCCGCCCCCAGCACCAGCCCUUGUAUUCCUGCUUGCUGGCAGUGGAAGUCACCUAAAGAUGGGAAGCUGGGAUCUGGAGCUUUGGGAACUUAGCAUGACAACCAAGGAGAUGACAGACCAAGCCAAGCCUGUAAGGCAGCGGAGAUGAUAACGGAUCCUGAGACUCCUUGAUAAGUAAGCAGUGAGGGCCCUCCUGAUGUAAGCCUCUUACUUGGGCCAUGCUACCCGAGGCCACCAACGCUGCUCACUGGCACAGGGGGAGGCUGAGAGAGACGGAAGACUGGCAAGGAAGUCUCACAUGAAACAGAUAAGUGACUGAAGAGAAUAAACAGCAACCAAAUAGCACCUUAAUUUAGUGAACUAUGGCUCCUACCACUUCUGCAAGAAGAUGCAGUCUGAAAAAUCUCCAGUAUUGCCUAUAACUGAAAAUGAGCUGUGUGCACGCGACACACCCACUGACUGGCUCUGUAUCCCAGGGACAGACGUGUAGUGACUGGUGUGAACAUCACUCUCUGGGAUCUGCCCAGUGAGAACUGGGAAGAGGGAAUGCAGUGCAUCUGAACUCGCGUCCUUCAUCUUAGCUACCAGUGAACCCUCGAGGAGCUUCCUCAAGUCAUGAUGGGCCAUACCACAGACCACAGAAGAGUCUGGGAAGAUUAGAUGCAGGAGGUCAAGAUGGGUAAAACAAAAGAUUCUCUGGAUGCAACUGGCUGUGUCACUGAAGACGACCUUUAAAUUCCGGUCUUCCUGCUUCCACAUCAUAAGAGCUAGGAUCACUCACAUGUACUGAGGUUGAGCUCAGGACACUGUGCGUGCUGGGAGGUACUGUGUCCACUGAGCUACAUCCCAACCUGUACUUCUAGUCUCUUGAUGUCCUUGCUGUAAAGUUCACCAGGAGAAAGAAAUAAACGUAGAUACUCUUAGUUCUACUCGUUGCCCCUCCCACCCCCAAAUUAAGUAAUUGCUUAAGUCUACAGAAUGUAAAAGCAAAAUUGUACUAUG